AUUGAACGCUGGCGGCAGGCCUAACACAUGCAAGUCGAGCGGGGUUUUCGGACCUAGCGGCGGACGGGUGAGUAAUGCGUAGGAAGCUACCCGAUAGAGGGGGGUACCAGUUGGAAACGACUGUUAAUACCGCAUAAUGUCUACGGACCAAAGUGUGGGACCUUCGGGCCACAUGCUAUCGGAUGCGCCUACGUGGGAUUAGCUAGUUGGUGAGGUAAUGGCUCACCAAGGCGACGAUCCCUAGCUGGUUUGAGAGGAUGAUCAGCCACACUGGAACUGAGACACGGUCCAGACUCCUACGGGAGGCAGCAGUGGGGAAUAUUGGACAAUGGGCGCAAGCCUGAUCCAGCCAUGCCGCGUGUGUGAAGAAGGCCUUCGGGUUGUAAAGCACUUUCAGUUGGGAGGAAGGGUUGUGUGUUAAUAGUACACAGCCUUGACGUUACCAACAGAAGAAGCACCGGCUAACUCUGUGCCAGCCGCCGCCGUAAUAC
rnacentral:rRNA from 1 species